AUUGAAAAAUCCUACCCCUUUAAAAAGCAAGGAGUGCCUUCCAAACUCCCCCUUAAGAAUAGUGGAAUGACCUCCAUACCCUUACAUUCCUUCAGGAUUUACCGAUAUGCCAUUUCCUUUCCUUACACACAUGAUCGGCCAACUGUGUGUUUUCAUUAAGCAAGAACCCCUUCUCCCACUUCUCUGCUUCAGUGCUUCCUUUCUUCUUUCUUUCACCCGUGUUUCAACAAACCCUAGCUCUGUCCCCAUCUUCUCUCUCCUCCCCCAUUCUUCUUUAUCUCUCCUUCAUUGUUCUGUCUUGCUACAUCCAUCUUCUGAUAUUCCAACCAAUAUGUUUUCUCUCACCUUCUAACUCCUCUACUGCUUUCAGAAUGCUUCCCAUCUUCUAUUUGCUACUAAUAUAUCUUCUGUUCAGGAUUCAUCACGGCAAGAACGGUGAGGUCUAUUAAAUAUUCUCCUAUCCAUCAACCGUUUAUGCCAAGUUUUCUUAAUUGAUAGAUAGUUUUGGGGUUUAAUGGUCGGAUUUAGGAUUUAUGUAGAGUUCUUAAAAUUUAGGGUUUUUAUCUGGGGUUUAACAGAAAUACGAAAGGAAUGAAACCCGAGAAGCCAAGACAAUUCCAUGGCGAGCUCUUGACCCGUUUUCCUGCAAGGUAUCAAAGAAAGAUAAAUGAAGAAAAUGAGGCAUCGGUUGUGGCAUUGAAUACCGAGAGUUUGCGGAAAUCCUCAGUCAUUGCCACAGUUUCCUUCUCGAAUUCAAGUUAGAUUUAUGAGAAUUGAAGACGUUAAUAAGUGAAUAACAAUUCAAAGAAUGGUGACAUUAAGAUAAUUCAAAAUCUCAGUGGUUCUCAUUACCGAAUCAUUUUACAGCUCCUUUUAAAUUCUACGGAGUACUGCAUAAGGUGGGAUAAAGAGAUAUAAGGGGGGAUUGCACUUUUCUUUUUCUGGAUUCUAACUUACUAAAAGAAUUGUAAGUUUUCUUCUUAUGUUUAUAAUUUCAUUUCAUUUUUAAUGUUGUUGACGAUUUACUGUUUUAUUUGAGCUUUGUAAUUCAUUUGUGUUUCAAUGUUUGUGAA